GACAGAGGGGGCAAGCGUUGCUCGGAAUUACCGGGCGUAAAGGGCGCGUAGGCGGAAUGGCAAGUCGGUCGUGAAAUCCUUCGGCUCAACCGAAGAACGUCGAUCGAAACUGCCGUUCUUGAGGAUUGCAGAGGAGACUGGAAUUCCCGGUGUAGCGGUGAAAUGUGUAGAGAUCGGGAGGAACACCGGUGGCGAAGGCGGGUCUCUGGGCAAUUCCUGACGCUGAGGCGCGAAAGCGUGGGGAGCAAACGGG
rnacentral:rRNA from 1 species